GAUGAACGCUGACAGAAUGCUUAACACAUGCAAGUCUACUUGAACUUCGGUUUGGGUGGCGGACGGGUGAGUAACGCGUAAAGAACUUGCCUCACAGUUAGGGACAACAUUUGGAAACGAAUGCUAAUACCUGAUAUUAUGAUUUUAGGGCAUCCUAGGAUUAUGAAAGCUAUAUUUGCUGUGAGAGAGCUUUGCGUCCCAUUAGCUAGUUGGAGAGGUAACGGCUCACCAAGGCGAUGAUGGGUAGCCGGCCUGAGAGGGUGAACGGCCACAAGGGGACUGAGACACGGCCCUUACUCCGACGGGAGGCAGCAGUGGGGAAGAUUGGACAAUGGACCAAAAGUCUGAUCCAGCAAUUCUGUGUGCACGAUGACGUUUUUCGGAAUGUAAAGUGCUUUCAGUUGGGAAGAAAAAAAUGACGGUACCAACAGAAGAAGUGACGGCUAAAUACGUG
rnacentral:rRNA from 1 species